rfam:Laetiporus sulphureus 93-53 unplaced genomic scaffold LAESTscaffold_47, whole genome shotgun sequence.
GACACUAUAGCCAAGUGGUUAAGGCGACAGAUUCGAAUGUGUUCUUAUCUGUUUCCCUAUGGGAGCGCAGGUUCGAACCCUGCUGGUGUCG